CAGUCGCCGCGGUAAUACAGAGGGUGCGAGCGUUAAUCGGAUUUACUGGGCGUAAAGCGUGCGUAGGCGGCUUCUUAAGUCGGAUGUGAAAUCCCUGAGCUUAACUUAGGAAUUGCAUUCGAUACUGGGAAGCUAAAGUAUGGGAGAGGAUGGUAGAAUUCCAUGUGUAGCGGUGAAAUGCGUAGAGAUCUGGAGGAAUACCGAUGGCGAAGGCAGCCAUCUGGCCUAAUACUGACGCUGAGGUACGAAAGCAUGGGGAGCAAACAGGAUUAGAUACCCCCGUAGUCCCUGUCUCUUAUAC
rnacentral:rRNA from 1 species